rnacentral:rRNA from 3 species
CACGCUGUAAACUAUGAUCACUCGUUUUUGGCGAUAUAUAGUCAGAGACUGAGCGAAAGCAUUAAGUGAUCCACCUGGGGAGUACGUUCGCAAGAAUGAAACUCAAAGGAAUUGACGGGGGCCCGCACAAGCGGAGGAACAUGUGGUUUAAUUCGAUGAUACGCGAGGAACCUUACCUGGGCUUAAAUGUAUAGUGCAUAAUGUGGAAACACAUUUUUCCUUCGGGACUCUUUACAAGGUGC